GUGAGGAAUAUUGGUCAAUGGGCGAGAGCCUGAACCAGCCAAAUCGCGUGAAGGAUGAAGGUAUUAUGUAUUGUAAACUUCUUUUAUCGGGGAAUAAAGUGCACCACGUGUGGUGUUUUGUAUGUACCCGAAGAAUAAGGAUCGGCUAACUCCGUGCCAGCAGCCGCGGUAAUACGGAGGAUCCAAGCGUUAUCCGGAUUUAUUGGGUUUAAAGGGUGCGUAGGCGGACUGUCAAGUCAGCGGUGAAAGUCCAUGGCUCAACCAUGGAAUUGCCGUUGAAACUGUCGGUCUUGAGUGUAGAUGAGGUAGGCGGAAUUCGUAGUGUAGCGGUGAAAUGCUUAGAUAUUACGAAGAACUCCAAUUGCGUAGGCAGCUUACCAGGCUACAACUGACGCUGAGGCACGAAGGUGCGGGGAUCAAACAGGAUUAGAAACCCUGGUAGUCC
rnacentral:rRNA from 1 species